GAUGAACGCUGGCGGCGUGCCUUAUACAUGCAAGUCGAGUGGGUUUAGACCCACGGCAAACGGGUGAGUAACACGUAGGUACUUUCCUUGUCACAGGAAUAACCCUCCGAAAGGAGGGCUAAUACCUGAUGUGAUCGCAAGAUUAAAGGGUAUCCGCAAGGAUUACCGGACAAGAAGAGGCCUGCGGCCUAUCAGCUAGUUGGCGGGGUAAAUGCCCACCAAGGCUAUGACGGGUAGCUGGUCUUAUGAGGAUGAUCAGUCACAUGGGCACUGAGACACGGGCCCAACUCCUUCGGGAGGCAGCAGUAGGGAAUUUUGCGCAAUGGGCGGAAGCCUGACGCAGCGACGCCGCGUGCGGGAUGAAGGCCUUCGGGUCGUAAAACGCUUUUAUAAGGGACGAACUUUGACGGUACCUUAUGAAUAAGAGGUUGCUAACUCUGUG
rnacentral:rRNA from 1 species